UUCCAAGGCCUCUCUCCUUGACUUGUAGGCAAACCUGCUCUGACCUCACAGGGCCUUCCCUCUGGGCCUUCAUCUUAAUCUCUUUAUAGGAACACCUACCAGUCAGAUUAGGGCCCACCCUCAUGACCUCACUUUACCUUAAUGACUUCUUUAGAGGCUCUGUCUCCAAAUAUGGUAAUGUCCUAAGGUGCUGGGGCUAGGAACCUCAAAUACAAAUUUGCCCGGGGGCCGGGGGGUGGGCACUUCAGCCCAUAGCAUGUUUCAGUUUUUAUAGUGUUCUCUGUGUAUUAACUACUCUUGAAAAUAUAAUGGUAAGGAGAAUGGGAGUAACUUGUUUGGCUCAUGAGGUAGUCAGAGCCCAAAAGGGCAGGGCUGGUCCCAUACAUCCAGGGAGGGUUGAAGUGGCUGUGGGGGAUGGGGUGGGGCUAGAUGGCCACUGCAACCUUCAGCUGAGGAGGCGUUCUUGUCUGCCAGCUUUUUAGCUGCUGCUACUCUCUAGAAGUAUAAGCUGUUUUCAGAAGAUAACUUUGGACUCUAUCUUCAUUUUAAGAUUCCUGAGUAAUUAGCAAUAUAUUUUGAAGUGGUUUUUUUUUUUUUUUUAAUCCACAAUCUGCUUUGUCAUUUUUUUAGUGAAUUUUGCUUAGAAUUGCAAGUCCAGGAACACUCUCAGAAGUUCCUCUGUAUUUCUGGGCCUCCAGUAGAUAAAACAUUUACCCCAGCCACCAGGGUAGCUUACCACACCCAGAAGUCUCUGGUACCUUCUAGUAUAGCAUCAUCACCAUGCAGUCAAGUUGGCAUUUCAUGUCCAAGAGGCUGAGGGCUGAAGACUUCAGGCCAGGCCUCAAGGAAAUACAGCUUCUCAACAGAACACUGGCAUUCAAAUUCUGCUAAAUAUUACUACGUCAGUUAACUACUGCCAGGCAACAGACCACUCCAAAACUUACAGCUUAGAACAGCAGUUUACUAUUUCUAAUCAUUCGUGAGUCGGCUUGGUAGUUCUGCUGCUGAUUUUGCCUGGGCUCACUUGGUGGGCUACACUGAACUGGAGGGCCGUUUGCAGGGGGAGGUCCUUGAUGGCCUCUCACUUGCCUACCAGUUCAUGAUGGCUGUCCACCGGGGCACCUGAGUUCCCCUGCAUGUGGCCUCUCAUCCUCUAGUAGGCUUGGCCUGUGCAGUGAUCUCAGGGAAGCAUCCCAGGCAAGCAGAAGCUGACGUUGCAGGGCCUCUUGUGGCCUCACCUCGGAAGUCAAACAAAGUCACUUCAGCCAUA